GGAAGCUGGCGAGGCCGAGCCCCGCGUAGUGCUUCCUUGACCUUGCUCCUUGAACACUCGCAUGUGGCGGUGGAUCUUACUCCUUCCAGCCAGUGAGGAUCCAGCAACCUGCUCCGUGCCUCCCGCGCCUGUUGGUUGGAAGUGACGACUUUGAAGAUCGGCCGGUUGGAAGUGACGACCUUGAAGAUCGGCGGGCGCAGCGGGGCUGAGGGGGCGGGUCUGGCGCUAGGUCCCGCCCCUGCGUGCCGGGAACCCCAGAGGAGGUCGCAGUUCAGCCCAGCUGAGGCCUGUCUGCAGAAUCCACACCAAACAGCAUCAUGUCCAUGACACUGGGAUACUGGGACAUCCGCGGGCUGGCCCACGCCAUCCGCCUGCUCCUGGAAUACACAGACUCAAGCUACGAGGAAAAGAAGUACACGAUGGGGGACGCUCCUGACUAUGACAGAAGCCAGUGGCUGAAUGAAAAAUUCAAGCUGGGCCUGGACUUUCCCAAUCUGCCCUACUUGAUUGAUGGGACUCACAAGAUCACCCAGAGCAACGCCAUCGUGCGCUACAUUGCCCGCAAGCACAACCUGUGUGGGGAGACAGAAGAGGAGAAUAUUCGUGUGGACAUUUUGGAGAACCAGGCUAUGGACGUCUCCAAUCAGCUGGCCAGAGUCUGCUACAGCCCUGACUUUGAGAAACUGAAGCCAGAAUACUUGGAGGGACUUCCUACAAUGAUGCAGCACUUCUCACAGUUCCUGGGGAAGAGGCCAUGGUUCGUUGGAGACAAGAUCACCUUUGUAGAUUUCCUCGCCUAUGAUGUCCUUGACCUCCACCGUAUAUUUGAGCCCAAGUGCUUGGACGCCUUCCCAAAUCUGAAGGACUUCAUCUCCCACUUUGAGGGCUUGGAGAAGAUCUCUGCCUACAUGAAGUCCAGCCGCUUCCUCCCAAAACCUCUGUACACAAGGGUGGCUGUCUGGGGCAACAAGUAAUGCCUUGAAGGCCAGGAGGUUUCCUGUGGCAUAAUGUGAUGGUUAAUUUUCUGCGUCAACUUGACUGGGCUACAGGAUGCUCACAUGGCAGCAAUGAAGGAAGUAUCCACCAAACUGUCAGGGCCCAGACAGAAGAAAAACACAGGAAGGUUGAAUUUGAUCUUUCUGACUGGGACAUCCAUCUCUGCCUAUCCUGGGACAUCCACACUCCUGGUUCUCUGGCCUUCAGACUUGAUCAGGGUCUCACUCUGUCACCCAGGCUGGAGGGCAGUGAUGUGAUCACGGCUCAUUGCAGCCUCGACUUCUCAGGCUCCAAUGAUCCUCCCACCUCAGCCUCUCAAGUAGCUGGGACCACAGGUAAAGGGCCAUCAUGGCCAGCUAAUUUUCAUAUAUUUGGUAGACAAUGUUUCACCAUGCUUCCCAGGCUGGGUGGAUACUUUUCAAAAAUAAGUUCAGUUCAUCCUGCCUAGCCUUGCUCCAGCAGCUCUAGAGGAAUUACCCACUCUGGUGCUGGGCUCAGGCUGCCUGGCUCUGGAAUAAUGUGCUCAGAGCUGCAGGGGGUGCCUGCUGUCUGACUGGCAGAGAGAGUCCCAUACUCCCUACCCUGUACCCUGGAAGACCAGGCUGCCCAGCCUGUCCACCUGGUAGACCAUUUCCCUGCCCAGUUCUCCUUCUCUCAUUCCUGAUGUGCAGCUUGAUGCCUGCAGGGACUGCGCCAGCUGAGAUUGUCUCUAGGUCCUCGCUUCUGCCAGCUGGUGUCCAGGGAAGUGGGUCCUCUGGUCUCCUUCCUGCCACCAGAAUUUUGAGGACCUUGUUUCUCCCACUGCAACUUUUGACCCAUUCCUGGGUUUCUUUUUCUUUUUUUUUGAGAUGGACUCUUACUCUGUUGCUCAGGCUGGAGUGCAGUGGUACAACCUCAGCUCACUACAACCUCCGCCUCCCUGGUUCAAGCGAUUCUCCUGCCUCAGCCUCCUGAGUAGCUGGGAUUACAGGCACCCGCCACCAGGCCUGGCUAAUUUUUUUGCAUUUUUAGUAGAGUCGGGAUUUCACCACGUUGGCCAGGUUUUAGACUAGGGUUUCUUCACCUCAGCAGUACUGUCAUUUUGGAGGGCAGAAUUAUUUGUUGUGGGGCGCUGUCCUGAGCAUUGCAGGGUGUUCAGCAUCCUACCCAAACUCUACACACUAGAUGCCAUGGGCGCUUCCCAGUGGUGACAAUUAACAAAGUCUCCAGACAGACCUACAUGUCCCCUGAGGGGCAAAGUUACCUCCACUUGAAGACCAGUGGUGUCCUGGAUGGAUACUAAUAUUAAAAUAAUAAUAAUAAUAACAGAAAUCAUAAUAUAACUCAUGUAGUUAAGGUAAGUCCUUUUUGAUGGAACAUUUGUUUCAGUUAAUAUUAUUUGUGUAUGUCUGUCCUGGUAGUUUUUUUUUUAACUUUUUAUUUUGAUUUAAUAUCAGAGUUUGAGAAAUUUGCAAAAA